rnacentral:rRNA from 1 species
GACGAACGCUGGCGGCGUGCUUAACACAUGCAAGUCGAACGGUAAGGCCCUUCGGGGUACACGAGUGGCGAACGGGUGAGUAACACGUGGACAAUCUGCCCUGCACUUCGGGAUAAGCCUUGGAAACGGGGUCUAAUACCGGAUAGGACAUUGCAUCGCAUGGUGUGGUGUGAAAAGCGUUUAAUGCGGUGCGGGAUGAGUCCGCGGCCCAUCAGCUUGUUGGUGGGGUGAUGGCCUACCAAGGCGACGACGGGUAGCCGGCCUGAGAGGGUGACCGGCCACACUGGGACUGAGACACGGCCCAGACUCCUACGGGAGGCAGCAGUGGGGAAUCUUGCGCAAUGGGCGGAAGCCUGACGCAGCAACGCCGCGUGGGGGAUGACGGCCUUCGGGUUGUAAACCUCUUUCAGCAUCGACGAAGGCCCUCGUGUUCGGGGGUUGACGGUAGGUGCAGAAGAAGCACCGGCUAACUACGUGCCAGCAGCCGCCGUAA